GAGAUGCGUACAUGAGUGUGAUGUUUCCUGCUGAAAGCACAGGUGAGACGUGGUCUUGUAACACAGUGGUUAAGAAUGUGACUUUGGAGCCAGCCUGCUAGGGGCUGAAUUCUGACUCAGCCAUUUACUAACUGUGUGACCUUAGGGAGGAGGACCUGGUUGAUAGAAGAAUUUAUCUCGUAGUCUUAACAUCCACUGUAAUUCCAAACUUUGAGGACGAUAGAGAUCAGUGGGCUUUGACUGCCCAGCAUGCAGUCUCCAUUCUUAGGUCACAGAAUUUUCCACACUCCUUGACAGAGGUGCUUAACCCUUAUCCAUCAGCAUUCUCAGACAGCACCUCCGGUUAGGGACAGUAUCUGACCGUCCGACAUCCCUGCAGCCCCCAUGUGUCACACAGACUCAGCCUCAGGUAGAUGGUUUCCGUAGAUGGUGGCUUUCUUUGGACCCUUGACAUCAACCAGUUACUAUUUGCAGGGCCACACAUAACAAAUAGAAGCAGAGCAAGCCCUGGAACUCCUGCCUGACAGUGACACGACGACAGAAACAUCUUACCAGUCAGAGGACCAUGAGAAAUAGAUUCAAGGAGCAUUCCACGUGCAAGUGAGUCUUGGCCCCAUCUGCCUUUGGAUUUUAGCCGUGAACUGGAAGGUAUUGGAAAGAAGACCCUCAGAAAUAGCUUAAUCAAAAUCCCUGCGUCUGAACCAAGUGCCUUAUUUCUCUGUGGGCCUCAAGCUUCGCUGACAUCUGUGGAGCACACUGUCCUAACAGGAGUGCUGUCUGAUUUCCCAACGCUCUGCAAAACAAACAGCCUGGAAGGGUGGCUGGUG
rnacentral:lncRNA from 10 species